UCCUUGAGACCGGCGCACGGGUGCGUAACGCGUAUGCAAUCUACCUUGUACAGGGGGAUAGCCCAGAGAAAUUUGGAUUAAUACCCCAUGGUAUUUUCGGAUGGCAUCAUCUGAUUAUUAAAGUUCCAACGGUACAAGAUGAGCAUGCGUCCCAUUAGCUAGUUGGUGUGGUAACGGCAUACCAAGGCAAUGAUGGGUAGGGGUCCUGAGAGGGAGGUCCCCCACACUGGUACUGAGACACGGACCAGACUCCUACGGGAGGCAGCAGUGAGGAAUAUUGGGCAAUGGAGGCAACUCUGACCCAGCCAUGCCGCGUGCAGGAAGACGGCCCUAUGGGUUGUAAACUGCUUUUGUACGAGAAGAAACACUCCUUCGUGAAGGGGCUUGACGGUAUCGUAAGAAUAAGGAUCGGCUAACUCCGUGCCAGCAGCCGCGGUAAUACGGAGGAUCCAAGCGUUAUCCGGAAUCAUUGGGUUUAAAGGGUCCGUAGGCGGUCUUAUAAGUCAGUGGUGAAAUCUCCUAGCUCAACUAGGAAACUGCCAUUGAUACUGUAGGACUUGAAUGUUUGUGAAGUAACUAGAAUAUGUAGUGUAGCGGUGAAAUGCUUAGAUAUUACAUGGAAUACCAAUUGCGAAGGCAGGUUACUAACAGAUGAUUGACGCUGAUGGACGAAAGCGUGGGGAGCGAACAGGAUUAGAUACCCUGGUAGUCCACGCCGUAAACGAUGGAU
rnacentral:rRNA from 1 species